UACAGGGGGUGCAAACGUUGCUCGGAAUCAUUGGGCGUAAAGCGCGCGUAGGUGGUUCGUUAAGUUGGAUGUGAAAUCCCCGGGCUCAACCUGGGAACUGCAUUCAAAACUGUCGAGCUAGAGUAUGGUAGAGGGUGGUGGAAUUUCCUGUGUAGCGGUGAAAUGCGUAGAUAUAGGAAGGAACACCAGUGGCGAAGGCGACCACCUGGACUGAUAUCUGACACUGAGGUGCGAAAGUGUGGGGAGCAAACAGG
rnacentral:rRNA from 1 species